AGAUGAAAACAAUAUGAACAAUAAAUGAAGUUAAGAAGCCUCAAACGCUUUUAGAUUGGAGAUGAGGAAUGGCUUCUUAAACUUCUGGUCUCCUCUUGAAAGAGUAGUCGACUUGAAUGCAGGAGAAGGAGGCUUUAAUUGCUGGAAAGAUGUAGUUGGAAGCAGUAAAUGCAGAUCUUCCUCUUUUUCGUUGAAGAGCACGUUGCAGAGCUUGAAUGCUUGAUUAGUUGGAGUGGAAUAGUUGUUCUCUGCCUUGCUACAGUCCUCUGUGGCUAUUUAAGCCAACCCCCACGGAAACUAGCCGUUAGAGUGCUUUUUCUGCCCGUUCUGAAUCCUCUGCGCAGCCUGACAAUAUGACCGUUGGUGGGUUGGAGUCGACUCGCGCGAUCAGGAGUCGACUCGGCUGUAGCGGGAGUCGACUCAAGCUUUUCCGGAGUCGACUCGGCAACUGUUCCAAAUUUGAAUUAAAGUUGCCUUCACGACUGGGAGUCGACUCGUCUUGACCUGGAGUCGACUCG
rnacentral:lncRNA from 1 species